CGAGAGGAAGCGAGCUGAGCCCUGCCAGCCAGCUGCCCUUGAAGACGGGCAACUUCGUCGGUCGCCACCUUGAGUCUCCCUUUGUAUUCAUCCACCUGCCUGCGCCAGCCUGCCCGAUGCGCGUCGUAGCCCACCUCGGUAUCCUGAAGCUGCUGCUGAAGGUCGGAGAGCUUCUUCGACCACUUCCGGUCGUCGUCGGCCCGA
rnacentral:lncRNA from 1 species